rnacentral:rRNA from 1 species
CCUACGGGUGGCAGCAGUGGGGGAUAUUGCACAAUGGGGGAAACCCUGAUGUAGCGACGCCGCGUGGGUGAAGAAGCGCCUCGGCGCGUAAAGCCCUGUCAGCAGGGAAGAAAAUGACGGUACCUGAAGAAGAAGCCCCGGCUAACUACGUGCCAGCAGCCGCGGUAAUACGUAGGGGGCAAGCGUUAUCCGGAUUUACUGGGUGUAAAGGGGGCGCAGACGGCGAUGCAAGCCAGGAGUGAACGCCCGGGGCCCAACCCCGGGACUGCUCUUGGAACUGCGUGGCUAGAGUGCAGGGGGGGCAGGCGGAAUUCCUGGGGUAGCGGUGAAAUGCGUAGAUAUCAGGAGGAACACCGGUGGCGAAGGCGGCCUGCUGGACUGCAACUGACAUUGAGGCCCGAAAGCGUGGGGAGCAAACAGGAUUAGAUACCCCUGUAGUC